GCAGUGUUCAUCACGGUCGUGCAGGUGUGUCGGUUUCAUAAUUUCUUAGGUUCGAGCCUUUGCGGCUGUCAGCAUGGGUCCAGAGACUAUCCCCUGAUGUGAUUCGCUCCCUGUUUAGGUGCUUGUGGCCCUCCAGGGUUGUAAAGCAGGGAUCCUUCAGAGUAGAUGGCCAAGCUCUGGCCAACUCAUCUGUUUGCCUGCUUUUGCAUGCAGGGAUGGGGUCGCGUGGUUGCCAGGACGUGGCGAUAAGAAGCAUCACUCGGAGGCGCGUUUCACGUAGAAGGAGUUUUCUUUUACUACCCUCGGAUGACUUCCUUCGUCACGCGUGGAUCUGCUCUAAGGCUGCCUGCCUGCCGGCCGCCUGCGGAAGUCCUCCCUGGGGCCUUUGCCGCCCGGAGCUGCCAGGCAUCGCGGGCGCGCCCACACAGAGGACCUGCGAACCGACCAGCUUCUCGGAGGGUGAGUGAGCGAGGGGACCGGGCCGGAUGGGCUGCAGCAGCCAGGGCUUGGGCCCUCAGCGCCGUGGAGCGGGCCGCGUGGGGGAGGACGUUCGCGCAGCUCCGUGUGCCAGAGCCGCCACCGCCGCUGGGAGACCCGUGCUGGCGGGAAGGCGCCUGCCCCCGCUGGGGCGGUGGCGAACCUCAGUAGCGGCCGGCCCUGGAGGGAGGCGGCGAGGCAGGCGCUGCGAGGCAGGCGCUUCAAGGCGGCUUGCCUGCGGCCAGGGGUUUGUGUGGAGUUGCCAAGUAUUCGGAAGCCUGUCAACCUCCAGGUCAGUUCCCU
rnacentral:lncRNA from 1 species